UCGGGUGCGGGAGCCGAGCGCGCAGGCACGCGGCGGCGGCGGCGGCGGGGGCGGGCGGCCGCCGGGAGGGAGGCGAGCGGGCGGGGGAGGCAGGCGGCGGCGGCUCCCCGCCCGCCCACUCGCACAUGCUGCCGAGCCGCAGUCCGCUGGAGCAGCGCUGCCUCCGCGGCCGCCCGUGACCUUCUCGCCCGCCGGCAGCCGCCGAGGACCCCCGCGGAGGCGCCCCCGCCCGGGCAGGGGAUGCGACAUCGGCCCCGGGGAGCCCCGUCCAGCGCCGCCCGCCGCCCAGCAGCAGCCUCGGCCGCCGCCCGCGGCCCGGAGGGAGCCUCAGCAUGAACCCCCAGUGCGCCCGCUGUGGCAAGGUGGUCUAUCCCACCGAGAAAGUCAACUGCCUCGACAAGUACUGGCAUAAAGGAUGUUUCCACUGUGAAGUCUGCAAAAUGGCUCUGAACAUGAAUAACUACAAAGGAUAUGAAAAGAAACCUUAUUGCAAUGCACAUUACCCAAAGCAGUCCUUCACCACAGUGGCUGAUACACCAGAAAAUCUUCGCCUGAAGCAACAAAGUGAAUUGCAAAGUCAGGUAAAAUACAAAAAAGACUUUGAAGAAAGCAAAGGAAGAGGAUUCAGCAUUGUGACGGAUACACCGGAGUUACAAAGGCUGAAAAGGACUCAGGAACAAAUCAGUAAUAGCUGCUCGGCUGGGAGAUCCCAAGAGGAGUGCCCUGCACGAGGCCCUCGGGAUUGAUCUUUGGAAACUGGCAAACCAAGAAAUUGAGUUUGGAUCUCCUAAGCCCAAGAUCCUCGACAUCCGAGUAUCGGAUAGUGUGACACAGCUGCUUGCAUACUCUUUCUCUCUCUCUUGUUCAGAACUUGUUGGGUUUGUCUGUUUUGGGAAUGGGGAAAAUAAAAGCAAAUACAAGAAAUUUUGUGAGGUAGGAAGAAUGUUUUCUUCCAAGCUCUAUUUUUGAGUGGGACAAGGGGGUUUCUCUUCUAGCAGAAGACCUGAUUGUGUAAUUUAUGAUCCUCUCUGGCUCUUGAAUCAAACAUAUUUACCUGCCUUUUCAGAUCAAGAAUUUUUUUUUGACAUGAAAAGUAUUUCUUUUUUUUCUUUUUUUUUCUGUAGUUGGACGCACAAUUCCUGUCUCUUCAUACCUAACUAUCUAAUCUUAAUAAUACACAUUCGUUUUCUUGAGGUAUGUAGCUGACACAGAUUUCAAGUCAUGGAUUCUAUUAGAAAUAAUUAAUCUUGAAUGAUAAAAUCAAAUUUUAAAAUUUGCAUGAUAGAGGAAGUUGCAUUUCAGUUACGCUUACCCUAAAAUAAUUGUUUGAUUUAUUGCAUUACAUCGUAGAAAGAUAAUUCUGCAUAGGCCAAAACUUGAAUCUAAUUAAAAAACUCCUGUAGUAUAGAAAUGCAUUCCACACAGAGUAGUUUCUGUAUUUAGCAGAUAAACAGUAUACAUCAUGGACUAAGGAGCUAAGUAAGGUUUCAAGACAUUGAAAGUUUUGCUUUGAUUUCACCUUGAAGUGUUAGAAACUUCUCAAAGAUCCUAUUUGAAACAAAAUUGUAACAACUUCAUUGAAGGGAUUGUAGAGAAAAUUGGCAGGAGAAGAUGUUAACAGCGAGGCCUGGAGCUCCAUUUGUAGGAUUCACAGCGUCAAGCCUGCAGAUACUCGUUUCUAAGGGAUUCCCCCCUGCCCCCCAUCCCAUUGAAUUCAAGUGAAGGAGAAGAAUAGCAUGAAAGGGAACAAGAAAAACUGACAGCAACAUGAAUGUCUGCAUUUCACAAAGCCAACCAUGGCACAUCAAUGGAGAGACUGGAGACUUCUAGCCAUUGGAGUACAUGAGACCAGACUGCUUGGUGGGUCUGAGUGGCCAGCUCCAAAUGCCUUGCCAACAGACUGUCACAUCAAGAGAAAACCCUUAGCUUUUAGGCAAACCUAAAAAUGAGGGGACAUCCUGAAAACAAGAUUGUUCAAGGAAGACUAGUCAUUGAUGAAGAAGAUAUAAAGUAUUACAUUCUGUAAAAGUGUUUAAGAAAAUUCUAGGGUAGCUUGUAACUUCUAUUUUUUAUGGCUAAUACUAAGAAAAUAUUUUCAUACUAAAAUUCAAACACGAAGACAGAUUCUUAAGAAUUAAGAAAAUGUUCAUUAAGAAAGUUUUUGGAUACUUGGAAACUAUAAAACUGUUUGGAAGCAGAUGAUAAUAGCCAGAUUACUCUUUCUUCUGUAUCAAGAGAGUUUCUAAAUAUAAUAGGUGACAGCUUCUUAAAACAGCCCCUUAGUCUACAUGGGUAAUGCGAUAUCAGGCUUUGCUCUGAUACAGCAGACUUAAUUAGCGAUCUAAAAAGUAGCAGUAUUCGUGGCUAUGAUUUCGUCAUACUUCUUAUACUGAUUCCAGACAGUACUGUGUUAAAAGCCCCUAUUUACAAAGCUUAAAGCAAUUAACUGAAGUAUGAUGUAAUGUAACCAUAUUGUAAUAUAAAUGUGACAUGCAAAAUUACAGUGGGCAGAAUCAGUCUUAGUUAAGAGGUGAUACUCAUAAAGAACGAGAUAAAGGGGAUAAGCAGUGACUGACACAAGUUUGUGGUAAUAUUAAGUUAUUCAAGGCAUGGUAAGAGUAGAAUAUGAAGAACUACAAAAAGACUUUGCAAGAGUGAAUGACUGGACAGUGAAAUGGAAAAUGAAAUUCAAAGUGCAGAAAAAUGUAUGUGAAUAGCUUCAUGUAUAAUAAAUGACCUCUGAACUGACUGUUACCUCUCAUGAGCUACUUCUGUGAAAACAUUGUCUCACUGUGCAAUAGGAGUCAAAAAAGCAAAUUGAACAUUAUAAAUAAAUAGC